AAACUAAAAAGAAAACAAAAAUGGGUAUUCUAACUGGAAAUCAGUUGGUACCGUUGAGCUUAGCAUUCCCAAUUCGCGCCAACCCUAACUAUCAUCUUCACGAUAUAGUUAGGUUAGUUACCCCUCUCAAAACCAGAAGAAAUUCCAGAAAAUCUUUGAAAUUAUCAGCGAAACUUGACGAUUCUUCAUCUCCCACAAAUUCCCAGCAACAAUUAAACCUCUCUGUCCUUCGAUUUACUUUCGGAAUAUCUUGGUUGGAUGAAUCUUACUUGCCCAGAUGGAUUGGUUAUGGUUUUGGAUCUCUUGUUAUUCUCAACCAUUUUGUUGGUUCGAGUUCCCCUGUAACCUCAGCUCAGCUUAUUUCAGAGGCGUUGGGUCUUUCGCUGGCGGCUUUCUCUGUAACACUUCCUUAUAUGGGGAGAUUUCUCAAGGGAGCAGCACCUGAGGAACUAGCAAGUCUUCCUCAACGUGCUGAACAAGUUUUUGUGAUGUCACACAAUGUUUCAGAUACCCUAAAGGAGGAUCUUGCUUGGACAACAUAUAUUCUACUACGCAAUACAAAAUCUGUCUCAGUGCUUAUAUCUUUGCAAGAUGUGAUCUGUGUCCGCGGAUAUUGGAACUUACCAGAAAAUUUAUCAAAGGAUGAGAUUCUCAACUGGUUCAUGGGUAAAAUAAGGAAAAAUGGGCUGUCUGAUGUGAAGGAGACACUCUAUUUUCCUCAAAGCACAGGUUCAGUACUGAAGGAGGCUAUUCCUGAAGAGACUGGUUCUAUUUUAGUACAGCCACUUUGCAGUUCAGAGGCACAGGGAAAGGGAAAUGAGAAUGAUGUGGGAUUUGUGCUUGUAGCUUCAGGUGUAAGCUAUGCCUAUGAUGAGAAAGACAAGUUGUGGAUAAAAGCCAUAGCCAACAAAUUCAAAGGUUGUUUCUUUGGUAAAGAUUUAUGCGGGAUCGAAGAGAAUGUCAAUCUUUCGACUACAAUCAGACGAAUCAGACGGAAAUCAUAUUUGUCACGGCUACAACAGAUCUAUAGACCCCCUCGUCAAUAAAGGCUGUAAAUCUUAGCGAUAUAAAAGAGGGUAUACAGAAUGUUUGAUAUACUACGAUCGUAGCUAUGGUGAAAUGAAGUUUUUAUUUGAUACGAUUGUUAUGUAUUUGUUAGAUUUAUGUCUUUAUGUAGAUGUCGUAUGACUUUUUAUCAAUGAAUUAAUUUGUUUAUAAAAAAAAAAGAUGUAGUGGGCUUUAGUUUAUUUGUGAUUAAUUGAUUGAGUAAUGUUGAUGAUCUUUGAGUAUGGAAGAGGAAUUACAAAGAGACUUUUGUGGGGAAUUCUUCUUGUAGUAUUGGUUAAUGCUUUACAAUGCUACAUAUUUAUAGUAACACAUUGUUGGUGGUUUCCACCACUACACUAUUCUAGACUAUUCUACUCUAGACUAUUCUACUUUCUUCCCUUUGUUGAUAGUUCUAGGUUUUUCUACUCUUAGAUAUUUGUUUAGGAUAGUCUAGAUAUUUUAUUACAUGUUUCUAGAUUUUUCUAGAUUAUUGUUUUUAACACCCCCAAUUUCUCAUACUUGCUAAACCUAGAGGGUCGGAACACGAAUUCUUCUCGGCGUUCUCGCUACACUAUGAUCAAAGCAAUUGCAAUAUCAAAGAUUUCGUGCAAUUGGAAUUCGAAAUUCUGUAUCGUCCUACAAUUGUGGGUUCUUGUAAUGGCCUUGUCUGCAUAAUUGCAUAUACUCGAAAGUACCAAAGGCGUCCUAUCUUGGUUAUAUGGAACCCGGCUACUCGUUGUUCUCGUAAAAUCACGAUUCCUAAGGGUGAAAAAAAGAUUGAGAAGUUGAGUCAGUUCAUUAUGAUUCUUCUACAGAUAACUAUGAAAUUUUUGGUGCAUGUUUGGGUUCUGGUGAUUAUGUUAAUUUUCAUGUGUUCUCUUGGAAUACUGGGAACUGGAAAAGAAUUGGUAUUCUAGACAAGCGUUUCAAAACAAGUGAGCUUAAAACGACAGUGUUGGCCUGUGAUACUGUAUACUUUCUAUGUAACCAGGUCAAUCCAAUUGUUGGAUUUGAUUUAGUUACGGAGCAAUUAGUGGAAGUUCCAUUGAUGAAUUUUCCAAGAACUGUAGUGUGGGCUUUUGAGUUGAGAGGGUGUUUGUCAUUGAUUUAUUCCCCUGGUAAUUUAGAUGUUGAUAUAUGGAUGUUGAAGCAACCCAGUGACCAGAAUUCCUGGAAGAAAUCAUUCUCAUUCAGUUGUUCUACAAACACAAGACACUUUAUCUCUUCUAAGACUCGCAUAUGUAUGGGUGUACACUUUGAUGGGGGACUCAACCUCUUUGAUCCUAGUCGGGAUAUUCUACCACUGUCUCAACGGGGGGUCGGUUUUGGAUAUACUUACUACUAUUAGUCAGUAGAUUACAUUGAGAGCUUGGUUUAUCCUUUCUAACAGACCGAGUUGUGAAUAUGCAAUCAUUUUGUUGGUGUAGAUUCGACUAUCUCCACAUUGUUGCUGCCUGCUGAAGAAGUGUAGAUACUAUUGACAGGUUCAAGUAAAACUCCAGAAACUAUAGAAAUACUGUAUGCACAGAACUAAAGGACAACAGCUAGUGUAAAAACUGUAGUGCAAAUUCUUUUCACUGAUUCUUCUUGUAAACCUUUUCUCUCAUUAUAGUCUCGUCGUCUGCUCAACGUUCUGGUUUUUGUCAUAGAAUGUAGAUACGCGGCACAUAAACAAUGCUUCUCGUGUCGAACGUUGUUGCCUGUGUAGCAGAACAGGGCAGAUUUACAAAUGGUGACCCCAUGUCCCCAUGUAUGUUCAUUUCAUCGUACUAUACAGUAUACACUUGUAUCUUAGUAAGAACGUUUCUUACUCUCUCACUAGUUUAACUUAGGGAUACACUAUGUGUAUUGACUCUUGUAAUAGUUCCCAGUUACUUUCGGUUUUA